UACGUAGGGUGCAAGCGUUGUCCGGAAUUAUUGGGCGUAAAGAGCUCGUAGGCGGUUUGUCGCGUCUGGUGUGAAAACUCAAGGCUCAACCUUGAGCUUGCAUCGGGUACGGGCAGACUAGAGUGUGGUAGGGGUGACUGGAAUUCCUGGUGUAGCAGUGAAAUGCGUAGAUAUCAAGAGGAACACCUGAGGUGAAGACGGGUUGCUGGGCUGACACUGACGCUGAGGAGCGAAAGCGUGGGGAGCGAACAGG
rnacentral:rRNA from 1 species